UCUAACCCCUACCAAUCAUGUGACCCAAACUAGGAUUAGCAAAAGCAAACAAGACCUUUGAGCUGUAGGCAUUUUCUCCUGAGGAAGCCACUUGCCCACAUUCUUGAAUCCUGAAAGAGCCACGUACAAGUCAGUGGACGAAGAAUCCUUACGAGGAAUUCUCUCUCCACCCAUGAGCUGAUUGAAUUGCCUUUUCUCAUAAGGCAAAGUACAAAUGUAGUCCCUGGUUUUACUAGAGAUCAAUUCUAGACAGUGGGAUUUUGUUUGGUUUCAAAGGGAUUUGAAAAGAUUAAAAAGGAGAAAAGAAACGAAAAUAAAGUCAUUUUCAAAAUCACGUGAUUGCCUUCCUACCUUAACUGAAGUUGUACUUGGGGUGGGGGUACGUUUUAAACUCUUUUUUUUUUUUUUUUGUGGUCAAUCACCUUGCGCUGCUCACAUAUUACUGGCUGGUCACUCAUAGGUCAUUAUUUUGCAUCACGAAGUUGGUAGAGUUAACUUUUGGGUUUGAGUUCUGGAAAAAUACUGGGAGAGGAGUGAGGAAAGGGGUCUUCCUGAAUAAGUUCAAAACUAUAUUUACGUUAACUGCAUGGGUUACUCGGGCCUGCUCAAGAUCUUGGAGUAGUGUCCUCACGAAAUAACAACAGAACACUCACAGUAUUCCUUCAUAUUCCUGAACCUUUUGCAAGUUCUGAGGAAAAUAUUUCUUUUCCUCCUACAAACAGCCCAUGUGUAAUUGUGUUGGGAGAUGUCAUUCUGAGGCCAGGGAGAAGGAGACUUCUUGCCUCCAGACGAGACAGUUAGAAUUUGCCGUUUUCCCUUACCCAUACCCUUAGCCCUUCCCGCACCUGCAAAAGCAGCAACCUUUACCUCACAGGAGGGAAGCAGUGGCAGACAGUUUUUACUAUUGACGUUUUCUGGCUCCCAAGUGGUCCUGACAAGGGAAGUGCUUUUAGGGAGACCCAUGAAAGAAAACCUGCAAACUCCUGCUUCUUCAACUGGCCCUGCCUGAUUGAAAAGUGGCUGGGUUUCAGUGGGGUUGAAUUCUAGUAGGCCUCAUGAGACCUCACAGAGCCAGAAUCUUCUGCCCGUGCAUUGUGUGAGGUGGCGUGAGUGCACCGUAGCCCGGCUUGAUCACACUUGUCUCCAGGAAGGCUCCAGGCCUCACCGCACACCUAAUCUCUCUGAGUCCCUUUUUCCUUGUGCGAUUCAGACAUGAUAAUGCUUCCCAUGUGGUUGAGGUGAGGAUAGAAUUGAAUACUAAUUGUGAAAAUCGUGACGAGUUCAUAGUAGGAAUUACAAAUAGCGCUUCCAGACCUUUCCCUGGUGUCUGUCUGAGGCUGCUAAUGUCUCAUUAUCAGUGUGUUAGCUCACUGCUAACGGUCCCUCCUGCUCAACCCGCACUUGUGGAAGAACAAAGAGGAAGAAUGGCAGGCCACAGUGUGAGACUCCGGUGACAAUGUCCAUGUCUUCAGCACCUGUGCUCAUAGAGGACAUUCACAGAAGCCAGGGCAGUACCUGGUCAGAACCUGAAACCUGUCAUCCUAAGGUAAGAGGACUCAGUUCCAUAAUUGGGCUAAAAGACAACCCCAAGCAACUAUGGCCACCAGCUUAUUCUUCCAUGCUGGGGAGAUGGUGGACGGUGAACCCCACACACAGUCACUGAGGUGCUGAUGGGAACAAUCCGUUGCUUUCCUUCCCUAAUGCACUUAGGGAUUAGGACUGCCUCUGAGGGAAAGUCUACAGAUGUGAAGUUGUCUGUGAGGCUUCUUCCUGUGGUCUCUAGUCUUCCCCUCUGUAGUAACGUCCUCUUCUGAAGCAUCUGCAACAUAGUCAUCCUUCUUUCUCUGUAGAUUUUGGAGCCAUGCAACCCAGUUGUCGAUGUUAAAAAUUGAAAUAUUUUUUGCCUCUGUUCUGAACAUGUACAAACUGCUCCCCUGUAACUAGCCUGUAAACUAGGUACUGUACAGCGGCUUACAGGGCAUUUACAGUGUAUUACAGUAUAUUACCUACUAUAGGGGUCUAGAGAUGAUUUAAAGUCUAUGUGACGGUGUGUGACGGUGACGUGCUGAGCUGUCUUAUCCAAGGCACCUGAGCAUCCUUGGAUUUCAAAUCUGAGGGAGUCCUGAAGCAAAUCGCCAUGGAUACUGAGGGAAAGCCUUAUUACUUACCUCAUAGUCUCAUGCGGGAUUUCAAUGUCUGGCCUGGAAUUACCCUCAUUUUGCCCCUCUCUGCUCAGAAUCCCUGUGUGUAGACUCAUAAGAGUAGAAAGAAAAAAAUCAGUUCUGAGCUUCACCGUAUCCCACAUUGCUCGCUCUGGGUGGGCGCCAAAUACAUGCUUCAUGGGAUGGCUGAGAGGGGAUGGAUCCAUGGAGAAGGUCCUUCCAAUUUAGUUCUAGGAGUUGAAAACAGGGGCCAUAUCCUGAUAUCUGGAGAAAGCUCGUGUAUGGAAGUGCUUAGGACCCAGCCAAGCCAAAAUCAGUCCUGGGAAGAGAUAUGUCAGGACCUUACACUGAGUCCUGUCUUUCCAGACCUCAGAAUCAGCUCUGUUCCUAUAGCUGCAGCCACGCCAUGUUGGGAGCCAACCCUGUGUCCUUCCAAUAAGUGGCCCCAUGAUUGUCCUAAGCAGCCUGUGUGGCAUUUCCGUUGCUUCUUUCUGGACAACUCCUGUUUGCUUUGUCUGACUCCACAGAAUUGAGCUGUGACAGUCAUUCCUAAGAACCUAACUGUAAGGAGUCCGUAAGGUAUUUUUCUUUUAAGUAUCUUCGUCAAAGAAUAGCAUUCAGGAAAUAAGUAGGAAAAAGUAUAAGACACUAUUUUUUAAAGGAUAAGGAAGAUGGUGAUUUAAUUUUAGGUCAUUACAGAGUACCAGUCAACAGACAGAUGACCAGAAACCUGACAGAAAUUAACGCUUAUUAUUGGGCCUCUGUUUCAGAUAUGACUGAGGUAAGGGUCUCUAAUGGUAUCCAACAGGCCUGUAAGAUUGUAACAAGAAUUUGAAAGCCACAAAGAUGCUAUCUUCACCUUAGAGCUCCAUAUAAGAAGAGAGGAAUGUAUCCAAAGAGAUGGGGCACUAGGUAGGAAAGCCAGAGACCUCACUCAGGGCAGGGAAAGAAAAGCAAACAACAGAGAAGGGGUUGAUGCCCCCAUUGACUCAAAGCAGGGAAGAGAAUAAAGUGUCUUCUUAUAUGAUAAUUCUCGACAUGUACUGUAUGAAUUGGACAAUUAAGUCCAGAAAGCGUGUGAAGAUGGGCCUAGACUAAGUGGGUCAGCUCUGAGUACUCCUCAAGAGCACAGGAGUGGAUUCUGCACACGUGAUAUGGGUUAGGUUUUUCUGUUCCCAGGAGGUAGACUCAGAGGAAGAGGGAGUAACGAAUCCCACUUUGUCAUAGCAGCCAUGUUUGAUGAGUGACUGACCUCCAGGUCAAUGAGAUCGAGCUGAUGUCUUUUCUAUCCUUACUACAGACGUGACCAGAACACAAGGAAACCAUAUUUGUUACUUUUCUGUUAUGGUGACAAAACACCCUGACCAGAGCAACUUGCAGAAGGAAGGAUAUUCUUAGGAUUAUGGUUCCAGUGGUCCAGUCCAAAAUGGUGGGGGAAGGCAAGGCAGCAGCUGGCUGGAACACAAAGCCAGAAAAAAAUCACAUUUUCAACCACAUGUGUGAAGCUGAGGGUGAACUGGAAGUGCGGCAAAGGUUAUCAACCUUUGAAACCCACCCUAAGCAACACCAGACCUCCAGCAAAACUACACCUCCCCAAACCUCUCCAGACGGUGCCACCAAGUGGGGAACAGGUACUCUCAAAUACGGGAGACCCUGAAGUGAUAUUUCUCUUCAAACCUCCAAAGGGGCCUUGGGUAGGAGUUGGUGUAUUGCUGUAUUGGCAAAUACUGAGUUUAGGUAACCCUCCCUUUACAGGAUAGAAAAAUAUUGAAAUGUUCCAACAUAGUUUAAUGAGAAAAUAUAGCUAAAGGAGCAGAAUCAUAAGUGUUAGAAUAGAGUUCGCCAUAGAUACUGCAAGACAUUUUUAGGGACAUAAUAAGAUAGCCACAAUUAGGUUAAAAGACAACACAAAGGAAUGGCUGUUUAUAUAAUAGUCACCUUCUUCCAGUAACUCUUAAUUGUGUGUGUAUUAAAAUUGACAACGCUUUCCGAGUUCUAAUCUGUUUGCCUCCCAUGGCUUUUGACACACUGAAUGUUUCAGCUUGCACUUUUCUUGUGUCUAAUUUAUUUCAAAAGCAAGCGCUAAGUGUUGUCUAAGUGAGGACAGUUUUUGGAUGAAUGCUGUCUGUGACCUCCUACUUCCUUUAUGUUAUGCCUGAGAAAUGAGCCCUCUAUAGGUUUUGUUUUGUUCGUUUUAGAACUUAGACAGUUUUUCCUUAUGGAUUAUUACAUCAUCAUUUUUUUGUAGAAAUUCUGAAGACUCUUGAUCUGUAUGACGUACCACUGAGAUUUGUAUUUUCCAUUACAGAAAAUUUCAAACCCAAGACGGGAAGAAAAUGAUCAGUGUCACCAGGCUUCAGUAAUGUGUUCGUUCAGGGAGCCGUUUGUGACAUACGGAGGUAAAACGCACAGAAGCGUCGCACCCAACUUCGAAUACUACCUGCAGGCACGUCUGAGCCACCCCACGCCGCCCGAUCUAUCUGAUGACCAGGCACAAAGACAGUAUAAUCGACAGACUUUGCCCCUCCUGGUUGAUUCCCUAAAUUCCCCUGAAGUGUGGGUUGCUGGUUGUCAGAUGGAUUCCAAUGCUAGAGAGCUUGAUCCCAGAGUGGCCCUAGCAACCUUCGCCUUCAUUUUUACCCAUUCGAAGAAGGCAUUAGGUCCCAUGGAAGUACAAUUAAGACAGUUGUGAGCCAUCAUGUGAAUGCUGGGAAUUGAACUCAGGACCUCUGGAAGAGCAGCCAACACCUUUAACCGCUGAGCCAUCUGUCUAACCCCUGGUUCACGUUUCUUGAAGAGUCUGUCGUUUUUCUAAUUGGCUGGAGCAGAAAACUGUUUGGAAAUAACAGAAGGGCUGAAGCUGUAUCUUCAGUUUCUGGUAAUUGAAGAGGAAAGGACAGUCUGCAUUUGCUAAUGAGCUGGAUACAGAUCUUACUUCUUCCCCAGUAGAAUAUCAGGACCCAGAACUGAGCCACAAAAUAAGGCCUUGAGCCGAGAAUAACAAGGGUUUUGUUAUGUUGUCCACUCCAGGACCCAUUCUGCUAUUUUCAUAACAUUCUAAAUGAUUCCGCAUCUGCAAGUAAUUAGUUGCAAAAUAAUCUAUCUUGGGACUGUGGGUUAGUGAGAGUUGGGCAAUAGGAGUUCCAACUGUGACCUAGCAACGUGUAAGUCAUGUUCCUCCUGCCUUUGCCUGCAACCGUAAAUACAUAACGUAGAUAUAGGCAGGGCCUACACAACGAUGAGCAUAGUCAUUUGCCUGAGAACUUAAUUAUUGACAAUUGCUCCCUUUCUACGAAGGCCCUUUCCAAUGUUGUCUAGAUUCUUUUCUACAACACCCUGAGAGACAAGAGAGGUAAGACCUGUAUCUGAUAGUGGUUGUUAAGGAGGUGGCAUGGUUUUCUUUUGUUUAGAAUUCACUAAUAGUUCAUUGACGAUAAUAACACACACAGAGAGAAAACCAUAAGAAGAAAUCAUAGUCACAUGGCUCUGUGAGUCAUCACUGUUCAUACAAUCGCACACGUAACCAACACCGGGGUCAGGAAAAAGCAAUGCUAACACUCCCACAUUCCCUUCCACAUACCCAACUCCAAAGGGAGCCCACCCUUCUGAUUCUAAAUCAAUGACGGGAAUAUUUGAGUGAAUUUUUUAUGGCACUCGAACAACAUCCUUGUCAGGUGUAGAUAACGCCUACCUGCCUAGGACACUCGCCUCUUCUUGAUAAACUGCACUUGCUGUGAAGAAACAACAGAGGGCCCAGCGUCUAGCUGGAAGAGAGCACCUCUGAGCUGGAGCCUACCAGCAGGCUCCAAGGGCUAAAGGACAGACAACUAGAACUUCUAUCUGUCUCUGUCAAAGGCUGACCCCAAACUCAGUUAAGAGUUUUGAAAGAGAAAUUGUCUUUAGGACUUGAUGGCUACGGUGGCCAUCUUUUUCCUACUGUGGACAUCUAAAAAUGUAGGCUGGGAGCACAAACUCCAAAAUAAUUUUGUUCUACCUAAACCAGAGGCGAGGAGUGGGAGGGUUUUUCAAAAGACUCUUCUGUUUGGCUAUGUAUUUCACUCAGUGACCAUGGGGAAGUCUGUCCUGUGCUCUACAAGGAGAGAGAGAUUUUGCUGGAAUGUGGAAGCGAGGAACAAGUGCCUGGUUGACCUCCUGGUGUGGACGAAUAUAUCCCCAGGGUGAAGUCUUGUGAGCAUACUUGGGGUGGGCAGAGCCAAAGACAGGCAUCAUUUAACUCCAGCUGAAACCUUCUGGAAGCUUCCUCUCCCAACCAUCAGGACUGCUCUCCUCUAAUUCUCCCCACUAUCUAGAGACUAACAAACUAGUCUUACAUCUCAACUAGUGGCCUGCUUGAGAAAGUUUGGAGCCUUGUGAAGAAUAGAGAAAUGGAUUGGGCCAGGUGCUGCAUUUGGUAUUUAUUUGUUUAUUUAUUUAUUUACUUACAUGCCUGGGGUAACCUAGGCUGACCUUGAACUUACUAUGUUACCGAUUCUACCCCUGAACUCCAGAUCCCAGAGGACUGAAGAUGUUCUCUCCACAUAGCCUGAUUGAACUGAGCCUUUAAAUGGAGCCCAGCUCUGCCUAGUAUAAUGAACUCUGUGCUCACACUUCCUCCACUAGAAAUAACUGCUUUAGACCAUUCAACCAACAUGCCAGGGCUCAUCAGACCUCCUUUCUCUCUGGAGUCUUUGUCUACCCCUCUACUCCACGCCAGACCCAAAGGUUCUGGGCUCAGAACCUUUACAUGAAGAGAGAUCUCUUGGGUUUGAAGUUUUACCCAAUCACAGAUAAGUUGUUAUUGUUGUUCCGUCCCUCGAGGGAUCAAAUGCUUUUCAUUUAAUGACUUUUUGAAAAGUUGGAAACCUUACCACCUUACAAAAUUUUCAUCAGAGGACUAAGAGACCCAGGUCACAAAUGAAAUCUGUGGUGGCAGAUCCUAAGGGAAUGUUUAGGUGGUAUGCCUCUCCUGCUGUGAUGCACACAGAGAAAUGCGACGACGACGACGUUUCCAUUUGAAAAAUGCCCACAUCAACUCCCCCUUCGUAGCAGGGGCUGGUUUCACAAGCCUUGUCGCAGGGUUACUCCUCAGAUAACAGCUUCUUAAAAUUCCCCAGGUGUGUGUCCCUGACUGCAAGUGUCUGAGGAGCCCAGAGGUGUCCUCCUGGAAUUGGCGUUAUAGGCAGUUUUGAGUUACCUGAGUGGAAUUCAGGUGCCAGGUAGCCCAACAUCCUUACCGAGGAGAAGCCGUUUGCAGCUCCCAUAAAUACAGAACUUUGAUGCGUGAAUUGUUACCGAGAUGAGCAGGUGCUGGUAGAGUUCUCAGACGAGUCCACAAGUUCUCCAGUUGGCAGAGCUUGACUUUAAUUAAGACAGUUCUGUGUGGGGGAGACGUGUCCCUAUCCCAUAACGGUGCCGGAGAAGAGGAGGAGACACAUUUACGUCUACAACAUGUUUCAUUAAACAAUAGCUGGUUUCCAUA